AGAACGAACGCUGGCGGCGUGGCUAAGACAUGCAAGUCGAACGGAUUAGUCAAUUGAGUAAUCGAGAGACUAAUUAGUGGCGAAAGGGUUAGUAAUGGAUAGGUAACGUACCUCGUGCAUCGGGACAGCGUCAUUCGCUUCGGCGAAUUUCCGAAAGGGGCGGUAAUACCGGAUAAUAUCAGAUAUCGAUAGAUAUCUGAUCAAAGAUUUAUCGGCACAUGAGCGGCCUAUCUCCUAUCAGCUUGUUGGUGAGGUAAGAGCUCACCAAGGCUAAGACGGGUAGCGGGACUGAGAGGUUGACCCGCAACAUCGGGACUGAGACACUGCCCGGACCUCCACGGAGGGCUGCAGUAACGAAUAUUGCGCAAUGGGCGAAAGCCUGACGCAGCGACGCCGCGUGUAGGAUGAAGCCCCUCGGGGUGUAAACUACUGUCAGGGGUAAGAAAGUGCGCUUCGGCGUAUUGAUCGAACCCAAAGGAAGUCACGGCUAACUUCGUGCCAGCAGCCGCGGUAAGACGAAGGUGGCUAGCGUUGUUCGGUGUCACUGGGCUUAAAGCGUGUGUAGGCGGAAAGGAAAGCGUUUUGUGAAAUCCCUCGGCUUAACCGGGGAAUUGCUUAGCGAACUUCUUUUCUUGAGGCAAGUAGGGGUGCAUGGAACUCUUGGUGGAGCGGUGGAAUGCGUAGAUAUCAAGAGGAACGCCAAUGGAGAAAUCAGUGCACUGGGCUUGUCCUGACGCUGAGACACGAAAGCGUGGGGAGCGAACGGGAUUAGAUACCCCGGUAGUCCACGCUGUAAACGAUGUCUACUAGGUUGUGGGUGUUCUGACGCAAUCACGACCGGAGCAAAAGUGUUAAGUAGACCGCCUGGGGAGUACGGUCGCAAGGCUA
rnacentral:rRNA from 1 species